rnacentral:tRNA from 1 species
GUCGGGGUGGUGUAGUUAGCAUGGCUGUUUUUCGUGCAGAAGGAGGUUUAGAUUGUAAUCUCCCGAU